rnacentral:rRNA from 1 species
AUUGAACGCUGGCGGCAGGCCUAACACAUGCAAGUCGAACGAGUGGCGGACGGGUGAGUCAUGUCUGGGAAACUGCCUGAUGGAGGGGGGUGACUACUGGAAACGGUAGCUAAUACCGCAUACCCUCAGAUGUGCCCAGAUGGGAUUAGCUUGUUGGUGGGGUAAAGGCUCACCAAGGAGACGAUCCCUAGCUGGUCUGAGAGGAUGACCAGCCAAACGUGAACUUAGAUAGGGUCCAGUGGCCUACGUGAGGAAGCAGUGGGGAAUAUUGGACAAUUGGCGCAAGCCUGAUGCAGCCAUGCCGCGUGUAUGAAGAAGGCCUUCGGGUUGUAAAGUACUUUCAGCGGGGAGGCGUUACCCGCAGAAGAAGCACCGGCUAACUCCGUGCCAGCCGCCGCGGUAAUUC